rnacentral:rRNA from 1 species
AGAAUCAACGCUGGCGGCGUGCCUAACACAUGCAAGUCGAACGAGAAAGUGGAGCAAUCCAUGAGUAAAGUGGCGCACGGGUGAGUAACACGUGACUAACCUACCCUUGAGUGGGGGAUAACCUAGAGAAAUCUGGGCUAAUACCGCAUAAUACCUUCGGGUCAAAGGAGCAAUUCGCUUAAGGAGGGGGUCGCGGCCGAUUAGUUAGUUGGCGGGGUAAUGGCCCACCAAGACUAUGAUCGGUAUCCGGCCUGAGAGGGCGCACGGACACACUGGAACUGAAACACGGUCCAGACUCCUACGGGAGGCAGCAGUGGGAUUUGCGCAAUGGGGGAAACCCUGACGCAGCAACGCCGCGUGGAGGAUGAAGUCCCUUGGGACGUAAACUCCUUUCGAUCGGGACGAUAAUGACGGUACGAGAGAAGAAGCCCGGCUAACUCGCGCCAGCAGCCGC